GAACGCUGGCGGCAGGCCUAACACAUGCAAGUCGAGCGGAUGAGUGGAGCUUGCUCCAUGAUUCAGCGGCGGACGGGUGAGUAAUGCCUAGGAAUCUGCCUGGUAGUGGGGGACAACGUUUCGAAAGGAACGCUAAUACCGCAUACGUCCUACGGGAGAAAGCAGGGGGACCUUCGGGCCUUGCGCUAUCAGAUGAGCCUAGGUCGGAUUAGCUAGUAGGUGAGGUAAUGGCUCACCUAGGCGACGAUCCGUAACUGGUCUGAGAGGAUGAUCAGUCACACUGGAACUGAGACACGGUCCAGACUCCUACGGGAGGCAGCAGUGGGGAAUAUUGGACAAUGGGCGAAAGCCUGAUCCAGCCAUGCCGCGUGUGUGAAGAAGGUCUUCGGAUUGUAAAGCACUUUAAGUUGGGAGGAAGGGUAGUAACCUAAUACGUUGCUACUUUGACGUUACCGACAGAAUAAGCACCGGCUAACUUCGUG
rnacentral:rRNA from 1 species